AUACGGAGGGUGCAAGCGUUAUCCGGAAUCAUUGGGUUUAAAGGGUCCGUAGGCGGACUAUUAAGUCAGAGGUGAACUCCCACAGCUCAACUGUGGAACUGCCUUUGAUACUGGUAGUCUUGAGUUAUAUGGAAGUAGAUAGAAUGUGUAGUGUAGCGGUGAAAUGCAUAGAUAUUCCACAGAAUACCGAUUGCGAAGGCAGUCUACUACGUAUAUACUGACGCUAAGGGACGAAAGCGUGGGGAGCGAACAGGAUUAGAAACCCCAGUAGUCC
rnacentral:rRNA from 1 species